GCCGGAAUAGCUCAGUUGGGAGAGCUAACGAGACUGAAGUUGUUUACGCAACAAUGGUUUAAGGUCCCCCGGUUCAAUCCCGGGUUCCGGCA
rnacentral:tRNA from 1 species